rnacentral:rRNA from 1 species
AGUGAACGCUGGCGGUAGGCCUAACACAUGCAAGUCGAACGGCAGCACAGUAAGAGCUUGCUCUUACGGGUGGCGAGUGGCGGACGAGUGAGGAAUACAUCGGAAUCUACUUUUUCGUGGGGGAUAACGUAGGGAAACUUACGCUAAUACCGCAUACGACCUACGGGUGAAAGCAGGGGAUCUUCGGACCUUGCGCGAUUGAAUGAGCCGAUGUCGGAUUAGCUAGUUGGCGGGGUAAAGGCCCACCAAGGCGACGAUCCGUAGCUGGUCUGAGGGGAUGAUCAGCCACACUGGAACUGAGACACGGUCCAGACUCCUAUGGGAGGCAGCAGUGGGGAAUAUUGGACAAUGGGCGCAAGCCUGAUCCAGCCAUACCGCGUGGGUGAAGAAGGCCUUCGGGUUGUAAAGCCCUUUUGUUGGGAAAGAAAAGCAGCAGGUUAAUACCCCGCUGUUCUGACGGUACCCAAAGAAUAAGCACCGGCUAACUUCGUG